GGCUUUUCGCCCCGCCUCGUUUCUGCGGGAGGUGGUUGCCCUCAGGCAGCCCGGGCUCAGGCCUCUGGGAGGCGGCUUAAAGCUUUGCCUGCGCCCGCGGCCCCGUGCCGGCUGCGGAUCCCCCCACGAUCAAGGCCAAGCGUCUCUGAAUUUUCAGAGUAAAUACCUUAGAAUUGGGAAAGCCAUCGCCACGGAGAUGGGGGAUACCAAGAAGGGAAGGAAAAAAAAGCGAGGGGGAUUGAUUCCUGCACAGCUGAUUUUCCACAUAGAUAAUAGCCUAUGUUGCUGCAUACAAGAACAACCUGAUUUCAGGCAAGCAGGAGUAUGAGACGUUUAUUGCCACAAUCAAGAAUGACCAAAAGAACGCAUUUUUUUCUUCGUGGGAGAUUAAAAGUUCUGGCAUCUGAGCCCACAGCUCUGUUAUACUACAGGAAAAGAGCAGUAGAGUUUGAAGACAAGUUCAGUGAAUUACUUUCAAGUGGUCAGUAUGAUGCAGCAGCAACUUCUGCAGCAAACUCUUCUAGAGGAAUUCUCCUUAAUGAAGAAACUCUGAGGAAACUUAAAAGGAAGAAUUUCAACUGGAAAUACAUAACUAGGAGCGUUCCACCAUAUAUUUAUUUCAAGUUUAACGGGAACAUUUCGGACCACGUUUGUAUAGAAGGCAUUUGA
rnacentral:lncRNA from 1 species